rnacentral:rRNA from 1 species
CCGACGGUGAGGGGUGAAAGCUGGGGGAGCAAACCGGAUUAGAUACCCGGGUAGUCCCAGCCGUAAACGAUGCUCGCUAGGUGUCUGGGAUGGUGCGACCGUUUCAGGUGCCGCAGGGAAGCCGUGAAGCGAGCCACCUGGGAAGUACGGCCGCAAGGCUGAAACUUAAAGGAAUUGGCGGGGGAGCACUACAACGGGUGGAGCCUGCGGUUUAAUUGGACUCAACGCCGGAAAACUCACCUGGGGC